AGAUGUGAGGGCGAUCUGGCUGCGACAUCUGUCACCCCAUUGAUCGCCAGGGUUGAUCCGGCUGAUCUGGCUGGCUAGGCGGGUGUCCCCUUCCUCCCUCACCUCUCCAUGUGCGUCCUUCCGGAAGCUGAGCACUCGGUCGAAGAGGACGGCCUUCCCCAAUAGAGACCGGUCUUGGUCUUCAGUUGAGGGUAUACGAGUAGCUGUGCUCCCCUGCUAGAACCUCCAAACAAGCUCUCAACAAUCUUCAAAGUCAUGUGAACAUUAACACAUGCAUCUGCUUUUGUU
rnacentral:snRNA from 1 species